GUGAUGAGUAGGUUGUCCAGAGUGGUGAAGACUGCCGAGUUCGCUGA
rnacentral:snoRNA from 1 species